rnacentral:rRNA from 1 species
AUUGAACGCUGGCGGAAUGCUUUACACAUGCAAGUCGAGCGGCAGCGCGGGGGCAACCCUGGCGGCGAGCGGCGAACGGGUGAGUAAUGUAUCGGAACGUACCCAGUCGUGGGGGAUAACUAUCCGAAAGGAUAGCUAAUACCGCAUACGACCUGAGGGUGAAAGCGGGGGACCGUAAGGCCUCGCGCGAUUGGAGCGGCCGAUAUCGGAUUAGCUAGUUGGUGAGGUAAAGGCUCACCAAGGCGACGAUCCGUAGCUGGUCUGAGAGGACGACCAGCCACACUGGAACUGAGACACGGUCCAGACUCCUACGGGAGGCAGCAGUGGGGAAUUUUGGACAAUGGGGGCAACCCUGAUCCAGCCAUUCCGCGUGAGUGAAGAAGGCCUUCGGGUCGUAAAGACUCUUUCAGCCGAGGAACGAAACGGCGUCUCUCUAACAUAGGAGGUUAAUGACGGUACCUGAAGAAGAAGACACCGGCGUAACUACGUAGCCAGCAGCCGCGGUAA